rnacentral:rRNA from 1 species
GACGAACGCUGGCGGCGUGCUUAACACAUGCAAGUCGAACGGAAAGGCCCUGCUUGCAGGGUACUCGAGUGGCGAACGGGUGAGUAACACGUGGGUGAUCUGCCCUGCACUUCGGGAUAAGCCUGGGGAACUGGGUCUAAUACCGGAUAGGAGCCAUUUUUAGUGUGAUGGUUGGAAAGUUUUUUCGGUGUAGGAUGAGCUCGCGGCCUAUCAGCUUGUUGGUGGGGUAAUGGCCUACCAAGGCAGCGACGGGUAGCCGGCCUGAGAGGGUGGACGGCCACAUUGGGACUGAGAUACGGCCCAGACUCCUACGGGAGGCAGCAGUGGGGAAUAUUGCACAAGGGGCGCAAGCCUGAUGCAGCGACGCCGCGUGGGGGAUGACGGCCUUCGGGUUGUAAACUCCUUUCGCUAGGGACGAAGCUUUUUGUGACGGUACCUAGAUAAGAAGCACCGGCUAACUACGUG